GGGAAAUCCAAUCAAAAAAACCCUGACCCUCAAGCAGCUACUGUAUUUGACCAGCUCACACCAGCUAGGCCUCCUCCAAAACUCAGAUAAAUAUUUGAGCCACCAAAACAAAACGAGAACAGAUCGGUCAGAAUCGUUAAGAACUGAAGCUAACAUCAUAGAGGUACAUCCUUCCAAGAAUCCAUCAAAACAACAUGCUGAACAACUUCAAGAACUCUCUUCAAAAGACCACACUUUCCUGAAAAAUAAAAGAUGCCAAUAUUAAAAUAAAUCAGUUACAUGUAUUGUUAAAUAUUUUAAUACUAGCUGUAAAUGCUACUGCCUUUGAUGUUUGCUUUCUACAUGUAUAUCAUAAUGAAAUAUUGACAAGAUAAUAGCUAAUGUUU